AUAAUAAAAAAGUGGUUAUAUUAAAAUUGAAACAAGCUAAAACUAAAAUAAUAACAAAAUUAAUAAUAAAACAAAAGUUCUACAAUAUCCAAAUAAUAUUAAAAAUGACAACAAACAACAUAAUAAAUACCUGCGAAAGAAUAAUAAAAUACCACAAAAAUUAUCACUAAAACAACAUCAAAACAACACCAAACAGCAUAAAAAUAGCACAAAAAAGCAGCAAACAACACGAAAAACAACAUCACCAACAACACCAAAACAGUACUAAAAACCUGCAAAAUAUAAUCAACCAACCAAAAUAUCUAUUCAUUAACCAAUCAACAUAUUUAAUUUUAUAACAAACUAUAAAUUGUAAGCUAAAUUAAAUUGUCAACAAUUAGAAAUGAAGGUAACCUAAAAAGAAAUCGAAGAAACAUUAUCCUCAUUGUCCACAUCAUCCUCAUCGUCAUCACCAUUCUUGCAACCAAUUUCUAACAUGAAAUAAUAAUAAAUAAUUAGAUAAUCAAAUUCAUAAAAAAAAUAAUACAAAAUUACAACAACAAAACUAAAAUAAUAAUUACUCAUUGAAAAUCCCUUAACUCGCAUCCAAUCAUCAAAGCAAACAAUGGUUUGAAUCUUUUUUUGCUUAAGUGAACUCCUCAAAGGUGUGAUAACUUUCUUACCCAUGCUAAAAGCCGAUGUGGAAGCUACAGUCGAUAUUAGAAUUGCCAAAAGAUCACGAGCCAAUAAUGAAAGCUCAUUAUAUAGAACUGAACUUUUGCUUCAAUAAUCCAAAACAUCUAUUUGACUAUUCAACUUAAGCUCCGGUUCUUCCAAACAAAUGUCCAACUGUGACUUUUCACUUUUAGUGCUAGAUUAAUUUAAAUACUAUUUAUAAUCUUCACUCUCAUCAAAACCUCCCCCAAAAUCAACACUAUUAACAUUGUGUUGAUGCAAACUAGAAUCAACAAAAUCUUUAUCCAAAACAUUAGAACUCCCAGCCAAAAUAGGAAGACGUAGAUUAGGAUUUCUUAACAUACUUGUCAAACAAGAGUCUAAGAUUGCUAAGAAUGGUUUCAACAAAAUCUAAAGCAAGAAUACCAUAGAUUGUAGUAAAGUAAUACUGCAAAUAGUUCAACUUGUAAUGAGGAUUUAAAAUUGUAGCACAUGACAAUAUUAAUGAAUACUCAGCCCAAUAUUUAUUAAAUUUCUCUUGCAUUUGCUUAAUCAUUAGAGUUAAAAAAGAAUAAUGACCUUUAAUUGUAUCAAGCAAGACCUUGUGAACCUUCCAAACCCCUCUAAAAUAAAGAUUAGCUGUUAGAUAAUUAAAACCAAAAAAAACACAAGUCACAUCAUAAAAUACUUUCAAAAAUUUGUAAAAAAUAGCAACAUUUCUCCACUCCUUGUUAGAAAGUGCAAAUAUUUAAUAAUAUUUAUGCCAUUGGCCGCAAUAAUCUAGAACAUCUUUAUAGUAAAGAGAAGAUUCAAGCAUAAAAUAAAUAGAAUUUCAUCUCACACACACAUCUUGAUGCAAGGAAAUGGUCACAUUCAAAUGAAAACUUUUGUUGGCCACAUCAUAAAAUCUUUUCCUAUGAAUUCUCUACUUUUUUAUGUACUUAAUUCCAUUUCAAAUCUUACCAAAAACAUCAUCAGCAAGUUCCAAACCAGCUUUAACUAUAAGAUUCAAUAUAUGUCCACAACAUCUAACUUGACAAAAAGCACCAUCACACAAAAUAGCUUAGUUCGCACAAAAACGAUUUUUAAGAUUAGAAACCAUAACAUCAUUAUAAGAGGCAUUAUCCAAAGUGAUGCUAAAAAUUUUCUUGUCUAUACCCCAUUGGCAUAAACAUAAAACAAGUUCAUCUGCUAUGUUCAAACUAUCAUACGGAGGAAAUAAAGCUCUAAACCUUAUGGUUUUCUUUUGUAGCUCUCAAUCUUUGUCAAUCCAAUGAGCAGUAAUGCAAAUAUAUUCAUCAUUAGUAUGCUCUGAGUUCUAAUUAUCAGAAAUUAGACAAAUUAAACCAAGUGCUUUAGCCACCUCUUCUUUAACAUGACCUCUUCUUUAGCAGAUGUAUGUCUACUUAUAUUCUUAAAAUUAGGACUAGCAAUUCUUAUCACGUAUCUAAAUCCCGGUUCUUCAAUUGUCCUAAAUGAAUGCUUGCAACACACAAGAAAAGUAGAAACAGCUCGACGGCACACAUCAGCAUCAAACUUGUAGUUUUUUAACAGUUAUUUAGAUAAUGUCUUAAAUGAUAGGCUCCACUAGAAGAUUUAGCAGAGAAGAUACUCUUACAUUAAUUACAUUGUGCCUUCAAUUCAUUCUUGGUCUCGCAUUCUAGUUUUGUCAUUUCAUCCCACACCUUUGAAGUGGUAGACUUUUGACGUUUGAGAGUAAUUUCAUACUCAUUAAACCCAUCGUCCACAAGUAUAGGAGUGUUCAAACUAGCCAUAGUCAUAAAAACUCAAGUCUUGAAAUCCAAAUAAAGCAAAAGAUUAUAUAAUUGUUCAACAAUUGUAUAUAAUAUAUGAAUUAUUCCAUAUUAUUAUUCAUUAUCAUAAAAUGUUAGCCCAAAUUAUUCCUAAAAAAAAUGAAGAUACAGAAUUUAAGUAAGUUUCAAAGCGGGAAAAAUGGCACAAACAUUUGUACUUUUGCAUAUUUUCAACGUAAAAUAAUGGUAUAACAUAUUUUUUUUUACAGUGAUGGUUGUAGUUUCCAACAAUUAAAAAAAGAGAAAAACCAGAAACAUUAAUGAGACAGUGAAACUAUUGAACACAAAUUAGAAAAGACAAAAGUAAAACUAAUGAACCCAAGUCUCUUUGAGUUAAAGAUAAAGAUAGCUUCUUCUAGUACUGUAAUAAUGAUUAUGUAAUGUCAAUAAAGCUUGAAGUAAAGAGUGAUUAUCUUUUGACAAAAGCUCCAAGAAUCUUUUUAACUUGUUCUCUCUCAUUUAAUUUUUUUUUGUGUAAAAGAUUUAAAUACUUAUCCUAUUAACAACGCCAUAAGCAUAUCUUUACCUACUGAGUUGAUGUUACAAAUGCUAAACGAAAAAAAGCCUUACUAAUAUUGUAUGAUUUGAAUAGUUGAAUUAAGCUCCAAAGUCUCAAUUUGUGUGUCUAAUUGGAUUGUUGGUUCAUAUCCCAAUAUGAGGCUCAAAAUAAAGAAGGAAUUUAAGGAAAAUAAAGUUACAACAAAAAAGAGUUUUCAGACAUCCCACAAGAAACGACCUCUUUUGGCUAAAGGCUUCAAUAUAGCUGACUUCAUUUACCAAAGAGACCUUUUUUAAAUAAACCUCAAAACUGAAUUUAACUAUGAAGAUCUUUAUCUUAAUGUAUCCACCGUUUGAUUAAAAAAAAUUCCAUAUGAUUUUGAUAUUUUGAGCCAUCAACGGUGAAAACAUGAGGAGAAACUGGACCUCAUUAGGGACUACUUCAUCUGCAUAAAGUUGAACCAUUGUUCGGACCAAAGAAGAGAGAAAAACAUGUAAAGAUCAAUGUUAGAGAGGGAACUCAAAGAAGAAAAAAAGGAGAGAGAGAGAAGAAGAGUCAGUUUAUUUGAAAUUUAGACGCUCUAACUCUUUAAUUCUGCUUCACCAAAUUCCACGAAAUUCAAAACUCAGCUUUAAAAACCUAGUCUUUCCAAUACCCAAAUCUCAAUUUCCUUUAGUUUGUUUAAAUUUGCAUUGUUUAAUUCAUUUCCCCUAUUUCUUGGCUACAACUAUUUGCAAUAAUUAGAGGUCCAAUAUUUCAAGAUAAACAUUACUUAAUGUUAUUUAAUUUCUUACCCCCACCAAACAAAACAUCUUCUUCCUCAAAUCUCUUAAUUUCAUUUUGAAUUUCAACAAAAUUUCAAGGUAAGUUGUUGAAAGAGAAAAUAUUUUAAGAAUCUAAAAAUCUUAAAACAAAUUAAAAGACAAAAAGUGAAACUUCCUGAUUAUUGCAAAUAGUUAACGUGCCUGUUUAGUAUUCUUUCCAAAUUGUGGAAAAUGUUAAACAAAAGGACCAUUUUCUCAAGACACCACAGUUUUCUUCUACAGUAACUGUCUUUUAGGUUGGGCUUUUUUAUGAAUUCAACCAGAGAAUCUUCUCUUAUAGUUUAAAAAAACUGAACUUUUCAUUCAUCUUUCUUUGUUGUUAGUUUCGCAGCCAGCUAUCUUUGAUUCAUCUUUUGUUCUUAAAUUAUCUCUAAAUUCUCUAGAAUUUAUAUAUAUCCUCUGCCUUGUAUUUUACUUUACUAGAUUUCUAGUAAGUACAGCAAACCCUAUCUGUCAUGAUGUGUCAUCCAUGAACCGCAUACAAAGCAAUCCCACACAAAAAUAGAGUAUAUAAAGCAAGGGAACAUAAAAAAAAGAGUUUUAAUUUAAGUAAAAUAAAGUUACAACAAAAAAGAGUUCUGAUAAACCACUGUUGUAUCGUUGACCUAUUAGAUAAUGCUUAUGAACUUUUAGAAGAGAUGAAACAGACAUACCAAAACAGAAUCAAAACUUUCCUUCAUUUUCUCGGUGACUAAACAAAAAGAAAUGAAAAUGAUAUUUCUUACCUGAGUCAGUUGAGGAAAUCAAAUGGGCGCUAGCAACAGAGGAAGCAAGUAGGAGGUGGAGAUGAAUGUGCUGACUGGUGACUGGUGAGCAGUGUCGACGGACAGCACUGCUGGAUCGGUGGAGGUGAUGGUGAGUUAGGGAUUUUAAUUCUGGAAUUGGGAAUAAAGGGGAGGAAAGCUCGAAAGUGAAAGUGAAACUAAAAAAGUAAAGUUAAAAAUUA
rnacentral:lncRNA from 1 species